ACGAACGCUGGCGGCAGGCUUAACACAUGCCAGUCGAACGGAUCCUUCGGGAUUAGUGGCAGACGGGUGAGUAACGCGUGGGAACGUACCCUUUGCUACGGAAUAACUCAGGGAAACUUGAGCUAAUACCGUAUGUGCCCUACGGGGGAAAGAUUUAUCGGCAAAGGAUCGGCCCGCGUUGGAUUAGCUAGUUGGUGGGGUAAUGGCCUACCAAGGCGACGAUCCAUAGCUGGUCUGAGAGGAUGAUCAGCCACACUGGGACUGAGACACGGCCCAGACUCCUACGGGAGGCAGCAGUGGGGAAUAUUGGACAAUGGGCGCAAGCCUGAUCCAGCCAUGCCGCGUGAGUGAUGAAGGUCUUAGGAUUGUAAAGCUCUUUCACCGGUGAAGAUAAUGACGGUAGCCGGAGAAGAAGCCCCGGCUAACUUCGUG
rnacentral:rRNA from 1 species